rnacentral:rRNA from 1 species
AUCCAAGGAAGGCAGCAGGCCCGCAAAUUACCCACUCCCGGCACGGGGAGGUAGUGACGAAAAAUAACAAUACGGGACUCUUUUGAGACCCCGUAAUUGGAAUGAGCACACUCCAAAUCCUUUGACGAGGAUCCAUUGGAGGGCAAGUCUGGUGCCAGCAGCCGCGGUAAUUCCAGCUCCAAUAGCGUAUAUUAAAGCUGUUGCGGUUAAAAAGCUCGUAGUUGGAUCUCAGUUCUAGACUGGAUCGUCCGCCCCACCGGCGGACGCCGCCCGUUCUGGAUCAGCCAGCCGGUUUCCCUCGAUGAUCUUCACCGGUUGUCUGGGGUGACCGGCGAUUUUACUUUGAAAAAAUUGGAGUGCUCAAAGCAGGCUUCGACGCCUGAAUAAUGGUGCAUGGAAUAAUGGAAUAGGACCUCGGUUCUAUUUUGUUGGUCUUCGGAAUGCGAGGUAAUGAUUAAGAGGGACAGACGGGGGCAUUCGUAUUGCGACGCUAGAGGUGAAAUUCUUGGACCGUCGCAAGACGAACUACAGCGAAAGCAUUUGCCAAGAAUGCUUCCAUUAAUCAAGAACGAAAGUCAGAGGUUCGAAGGCGAUCAGAUACCGCCCUAGUUCUGACCAUAAACGAUGCCAGCCAGCGAUCCGGCUGUGUUCCUGAAAUGACACGCCGGGCAGCUUCCGGGAAACCAUAAGCUUUUGGGUUCCGGGGGAAGUAUGGUUGCAAAGCUGAAACUUAAAGGAAUUGACGGAAGGACACCACAAGGAUUGGAGCAUGCGGCUUAAUUUGACUCAACACGGGUAAACUUACCCGGCCCGGACACAGGAAGGAUUGACAGAUUAAGAGCUCUUUCUUGAUUCUGUGGGUGGUGGUGCAUGGCCGUUCUUAGUUGGUGGAGCGAUUUGUCUGGUUAAUUCCGAUAACGAACGAGACUCUAGCCUACUAAAUAGACGUUCCGAUCGACUCCGUCGGACGUUCUUCUUAGAGGGACAAGCGGCUUUUAGCCGCACGAGACAGAGCAAUAACAGGUCUGUGAUGCCCUUAGAUGUCCGGGGCCGCACGCGCGCUACAUUGAAGGAAUCAGCGUGUGCUUUCCCUGUCCGACAGGACUGGGUAACCCGUUGAACCUCCUUCGUGCUGGGGAUAGGGAUUUGUAAUUGUCUCCCUUGAACGAGGAAUUCCCAGUAAGCACGAGUCAUAAGCUCGUGUUGAUUACGUCCCUGCCCUUUGUACACACCGCCCGUCGCUACUACCGAUUGAAUGAUUUAGUGAGGUCUUCGGACUGGCGCUCGGAGCGGCCUCCGGGUCGCGCCGGCGUGCCGGAAAGAUGACCAAACUUGAUCAUUUAGAGGAAGUAAA